UUGUUUUCAUCUCCUUAUGGCUUUUGAUAGCGUGCAGACUUUUUUCCAAGCUCUUCACCUUUGGAAUAAUGUGGGUAACCAAACAGUUGCUGGUCCCCCACUGACUUUAAUAGUAGGAAG